CAGGACGAACGCUGGCGGCGUGCUUAACACAUGCAAGUCGAGCGGAGAAUAUAGCAAUAUAUUCUUAGCGGCGGACGGGUGAGUAACGCGUGGGCAAUCUGCCUCAUACAGGGGGAUAACACUGGGAAACUAGUGCUAAUACCGCAUAAAAUAGUGAAGUGGCAUCACUUUACUAUCAAAGGAGCAAUCCGGUGUGAGAUGAGCCCGCGUCCGAUUAGCUAGUUGGAGGGUAACGGCCCACCAAGGCGACGAUCGGUAGCCGAACUGAGAGGUUGAUCGGCCACAUUGGGACUGAGACACGGCCCAGACUCCUACGGGAGGCAGCAGUGGGGAAUAUUGCGCAAAUGGGGGAAACCCUGACGCAGCAACGCCGCGUGAAGGAUGAAGGUUUUCGGAUUGUAAACUUCUUUGAUUGGGGACGAUAAUGACGGUACCCAAAAAACAAGCCACGGCUAACUACGUGCCAGCAGCGGC
rnacentral:rRNA from 1 species